UACGUAGGGUGCGAGCGUUGUCCGGAAUUACUGGGCGUAAAGAGCUCGUAGGUGGUUUGUCGCGUUGUUCGUGAAAACUCACAGCUUAACUGUGGGCGUGCGGGCGAUACGGGCAGACUGGAGUACUGCAGGGGAGACUGGAAUUCCUGGUGUAGCGGUGGAAUGCGCAGAUAUCGUAAGGAAGACCAGUGGCGAAGGCGGGUCUCUGGACAGUUCCUGACGCUGAGGCACGAAAGCGUGGGGAGCAAACAGG
rnacentral:rRNA from 1 species